rnacentral:rRNA from 1 species
AGAGCGAACGCUGGCGGCAGGCCUAACACAUGCAAGUCGAACGGACCCUUCGGGGUUAGUGGCGGACGGGUGAGUAACACGUGGGAACGUGCCUUUUGGUUCGGAAUAGCUCCUGGAAACGGGUGGUAAUGCCGAAUGUGCCCUUCGGGGGAAAGAUUUAUCGCCAUUAGAGCGGCCCGCGUCUGAUUAGCUAGUUGGUAAGGUAAUGGCUUACCAAGGCGACGAUCAGUAGCUGGUCUGAGAGGAUGACCAGCCACAUUGGGACUGAGACACGGCCCAAACUCCUACGGGAGGCAGCAGUGGGGAAUCUUGCGCAAUGGGCGAAAGCCUGACGCAGCCAUGCCGCGUGAAUGAUGAAGGUCUUAGGAUUGUAAAAUUCUUUCACCGGGACGAUAAUGACGGUACCCGGAGAAGAAGCCCGGCUAACUCGCGCCAGCAGCCGC